rnacentral:rRNA from 1 species
AUUGAACGCUGGCGGCAUGCUUUACACAUGCAAGUCGAACGGCAGCGGGGGCUUCGGCCUGCCGGCGAGUGGCGAACGGGUGAGUAAUGCAUCGGAACGUGCCCAAGUCGUGGGGGAUAACGUAUCGAAAGGUACGCUAAUACCGCAUACGUCCUGAGGGAGAAAGCGGGGGAACUUCGGACCUCGCGCGAUUGGAGCGGCGGAUGUCGGAUUAGCUAGUAGGUGGGGUAAAGGCUCACCUAGGCGACGAUCCGUAGCGGGUCUGAGAGGAUGAUCCGCCACACUGGGACUGAGACACGGCCCAGACUCCUACGGGAGGCAGCAGUGGGGAAUUUUGGACAAUGGGCGCAAGCCUGAUCCAGCCAUGCCGCGUGAGUGAAGAAGGCCUUCGGGUUGUAAAGCUCUUUCGGCCGGGAAGAAAUCGGCGACUCUAACAUAGUCGCUGGAUGACGGUACCGGACUAAGAAGCACCGGCUAACUACGUGCCAGCCGCCGCGGUAAAAC